rnacentral:rRNA from 1 species
UACGUAGGGUCCGAGCGUUGUCCGGAAUUAUUGGGCGUAAAGGGCUCGUAGGCGGUCUGUCGCGUCUGCUGUGAAACUCAGGGCUUAACCCUGAGCUUGCAGUGGGUACGGGCAGACUAGAGUGCGGUAGGGGAGACUGGAAUUCCUGGUGUAGCGGUGAAAUGCGCAGAUAUCAGGAGGAACACCGGUGGCGAAGGCGGGUCUCUGGGCCGUAACUGACGCUGGAGGAGCGGAAAGCAUGGGGAGCGAACAGG